rnacentral:lncRNA from 10 species
CUUGAUCCCCAGGGAGGGGAGAGGGGCUAGAGAUUGAGUUCAGCCACAUGCCGAUGAUUUUAACCAAUUAUAUCUAUGGUAAAACUCUAGAUAUAAAAACUUCUGACACAGGUUUUGGUCAGCUUCCUGGCUGGUGAACACAUGGAUGUGCUGAGGGAUGUGCAUUGGUAUCCUGUUUCUAUGAGCAGAGGGCACACAUCUGUGCCUGGG